UGGAGGCAGCAGUGGGGAAUUUUGGACAAUGGGCGCAAGCCUGAUCCAGCCAUGCCGCGUGAGUGAAGAAGGCCUUCGGGUUGGAAAGCUCUUUCGGCCGGGACGAAAUCGCACUCGCUAAUACCGGGUGUGGAUGACGGUACCGGAAGAAGAAGGACCGGCUAACUACGUGCCAGCAGCCGCGGUAAUACGUAGGGUCCGAGCGUUAAUCGGAAUUACUGGGCGUAAAGCGUGCGCAGGCGGUCUCGCAAGUCCGAUGUGAAAUCCCCGGGCUCAACCUGGGAACUGCGUUGGAAACUACGAGGCUUGAGUGCGGCAGAGGGGGGUGGAAUUCCACGUGUAGCAGUGAAAUGCGUAGAGAUGUGGAGGAACACCGAUGGCGAAGGCAGCCCCCUGGGUCGACACUGACGCUCAUGCACAAAAGCGUGGGGAGCAAACAGGAUUAGAUACCCGCGUAGUCCG
rnacentral:rRNA from 1 species